rnacentral:rRNA from 1 species
UGGGGAAUUUUGGACAAUGGGGGCAACCCUGAUCCAGCCAUCCCGCGUGUGCGAUGAAGGCCUUCGGGUUGUAAAGCACUUUUGGCAGGGAAGAAAAGGCUCUGGCUAAUACCUGGAGCUGCUGACGGUACCUGCAGAAUAAGCACCGGCUAACUACGUGCCAGCAGCCGCGGUAAUACGUAGGGUGCAAGCGUUAAUCGGAAUUACUGGGCGUAAAGCGUGCGCAGGCGGUUCGGCAAGAAGGAUGUGAAAUCCCAGGGCUUAACCUUGGAACUGCAUUCUUAACUGCCGGGCUAGAGUAUGUCAGAGGGGGGUAGAAUUCCGCGUGUAGCAGUGAAAUGCGUAGAGAUGCGGAGGAAUACCGAUGGCGAAGGCAGCCCCCUGGGAUAAUACUGACGCUCAUGCACGAAAGCGUGGGGAGCAAACAGGAUUAGAUACCCUGGUAGUCCACGCCCUAAACGAUGUCAACUAGCUGUUGGGGCCUUCGGGCCUUAGUAGCGCAGCUAACGCGUGAAGUUGACCGCCUGGGGAGUACGGUCGCAAGAUUAAAACUCAAAGGAAUUGACGGACUGUCUCGUG